ensembl:lncRNA
CUGCGAAAUGCGUCAGCCUUUCUUUGCCUAGGAAAGCGAUCCUUUCUGAGACUGAAAGUAAGAAAGUUUUAAUUAUCCUUCCCCCUUCCCCUUUCUCAGUUCCUUUUCACCUGUCACUCAGACACAUCCCUUAUCUCAUUAUUGCUAUCGAUUUUAGGACAAAAGGCAAUGAAACCUGAAUGGUCUUCCGUUAAUGUCCGUAUUUCCUUCACGAUGACAGCUCAGACGGCUCAGAAGGCUGUUCUGGCUUUUCGAAAGACGGAGGUCGCUGCAGACGAAGGCGCUGACACCGCAGGGGAGCCCAGGAGCCAGAGUGAGGGCCGCUGGCACCUCUGGACAGCCCCCGAGGGAGCCCGGCACCCCCUGGAGCAGCUCAACGCAGCCUUCGGAUCACACCCGCGUCUGGGAACCCAUCCCGCCCGGCUUCGGGUUACGCGGGCCAUGGCCACGCACUAUCCCUGGCAGGAGGGGUGGAGAAACUUGACAACCUUAGGGUUAAAGAGAGAGAGAAACCACACAGGACUUGUGCGAGCCCAACACAGCGACGGAGCGGUUCCCCGAAGAGGAGGGCGGUUGCUGACCUGGAGGUGGUGUCUGGCAGUCAUACAGCUCCCAGUACAGGACCAGUCUCUGGCACUGGGGCUCCAAUCCAAGGCUUCUCCCUCCUGGUAAAGACAGAAAAUACUGAUCUUAUCUGUUCCGGCGUGGAACUCCCUCACACACUUUAUCUCUGGCUUCAUUCCCUUUUGCACAGCAACACAGUGUCAGGGGGAUGAUAGAGAGGAUCCUGCUUUCCACAGCGGCAUUGCCACAGUCAGUGACAGCUAAACCUGGAAUACACACCAAUGAGCAAGGCCGGCUCGGGGCCGGCAGGCUAACUCGGGCUCGUGCCGCCGCUUCAUGUACCCUAAACGGUGGGGUCUCACUUAUAUAUUGACAUCCAGCCACAAUGUGUGCAACUUGUAACCUGAAGAAUUGGUAUUCUUGCGUUAGGAACGUGUGUUUUGCAUUGCUUGCCAUCCUUCCGUCUAAUGUGGCAUCUCAUUUUUCACCUGCCCGUUCUGUACUCAGUGUUAAUUAAUUUCCAGUAAAAUGAAAAUUAAAUAUACAUUGCAAAAAUCUUGAGCGUGAAAGAAAUCUGUGUAGAUUUUAAUUUGACACGUCAUGAAGUUUUUCAGGCAGUAUCGGGAAGACAGCAUCUAAUUAAUCUAAUAUGCAAAUACAAGCCUGCUAGCAAUUCAUGCUAUCAAAUAUGAAUAAGACAGUGACAAAGCUGAGGAUUAUUCCUGGAUGAUGUGAAGUGAUCCAUCCCAAUCCUUAUGCAGUAUUCUGAGAGGCACUGGCUCCACAGAAGAAAGCCUCUGAGAAAGGGUUUCAGAGGGAAAUCUCCACUUUCACAGAGGAGGCUAUUUAAAGACUGCACAUCUGCUAGAAAGACCAGGACAUAUUGGUACUCUCACUCACGAAGGUCCAAAAACAGAGCAAGAAGAUGGAUGGACAUGCAUAUAGUAGGGAUCUUUGCAGACUGAACAGACAUGGAUGCUCUGGUAGAACCACAAAUAACUCCUGGUUGGGAAAAAAAGUCAGGAAAAGGAAAACUGGAUUUAAAAGCCACUUCUAAGCAUUUGCCCCAAAGUGCCUGAUGCUGGUCUAAAUGGGAAGGCUUUGGUCC